rnacentral:rRNA from 1 species
AUUGAACGCUGGCGGCAGGCCUAACACAUGCAAGUCGAACGGUAACAGGAAGAAGCUUGCUUCUUUGCUGACGAGUGGCGGACGGGUGAGUAAUGUCUGGGAAACUGCCUGAUGGAGGGGGAUAACUACUGGAAACGGUAGCUAAUACCGCAUAACGUCGCAAGACCAAAGAGGGGGACCUUCGGGCCUCUUGCCAUCGGAUGUGCCCAGAUGGGAUUAGCUAGUAGGUGGGGUAACGGCUCACCUAGGCGACGAACCCUAGCUGGUCUGAGAGGAUGACCUGCCACACUGGAACUGAGACACGGUCCAGACUCCUACGGGAGGCAGCAGUGGGGAAUAUUGCACAAUGGGCGCAAGCCUGAUGCAGCCAUGCCGCGCGUAUGAAGAAGGCCUUCGGGUUGUAAAGUACUUUCAGCGGGGAGGAAGGGAGUAAAGUUAAUACCUUUGCUCAUUGACGUUACCCGCAGAAGAAGCACCGGCUAACUCCGUG